rnacentral:piRNA from 1 species
UAAGAAAUACUUGGGGAGAACCCCAGUGCCC